GUAGGUGGCAAGCGUUGUCCGGAAUUAUUGGGCGUAAAGCGCGCGCAGGCGGUUCUUUAAGUCUGAUGUGAAAGCCCACGGCUCAACCGUGGAGGGUCAUUGGAAACUGGAGAACUUGAGUACAGAAGAGGAAAGCGGAAUUCCACGUGUAGCGGUGAAAUGCGUAGAGAUGUGGAGGAACACCAGUGGCGAAGGCGGCUUUCUGGUCUGUAACUGACGCUGAGGCGCGAAAGCGUGGGGAGCAAACAGGAUUAGAUACCCUGGUAGUCCACGCCGUAAACGAUGAGUGCUAAGUGUUAGGGGGGUUUUCCCGCCCCCCUUAGUGCUGCAGCUAACGCAUUAAGCACUCCGCCUGGGAGUACGGCCGCAAGGCUG
rnacentral:rRNA from 1 species